rnacentral:tRNA from 1 species
GAGGGUAGAGCUCAGUGGUAGAGUGCAUGCUUAGCAUGCACAAAGGUCCUGGGUUCAAUCCCCAGGACCUCCC